UCAAAUCACAAACACACGCUCCUCUUCUUCUUCAGUCUCCUUCCACCAAAUAGAAAAGAGAGCGAGACUCUCUCCCUAUCUCUCUCUCUCUCUCUCUCUCUCUCUUGGUCGUUGAUGAUUUUGAAGGAUGAAGAAGAUUCAGAACAGAGGGAUGAUUGAUGAUGACCGAAACAACAACAGCGACGCCGACAUCAAUUGUGGUACGGUCAUCGUCUUCACCAUCAUGUCGGGGAGAUGUUCGAAGAAUGUUUGGGGGAUUUAGGAUCAGAGAGAUGGUUUGAAGAUUGAUGAAGAAGACUCGGAGGACUACUCAAGGUUUGAAUCCAUAAGCGCCAAUACUGAUACUUUGGUUUUGUUUGUUUCUGUUCCUCUCUCUAUAUAUAUGGAUUGGAUGGAGGAGAGCUGUAUGGUUCACUUUAUGACGGAUGAUGAAUGGAAUUUCAUCUUUAAACAAUGGCAAGGGAUUACCAGCCAGCAAACAGGGACGACAUCUUCAUUUGCUUUUAAUGUCUAAAGCAGAAUCGUUGAUGUGGUGCAGGUGUCGUUUUGGUGACUUGGUGAUAGGAAUAGAUUAGCAAAACAGUGUAGAUCAAAGAUUAAUCAACGUUACUCUUUAUUGAUUGAUAUCGGAAUGCAAGUUAAGAGAUUUAUUAUAAGGAGUCUCCACCCUCCUACCUUACAACCCUUCAAUACUUUCUUGAUACCUUCUCUCUUAAUCCUCCUCUCUUUAUUUAUACUACUCGUUAUUCUUAUCCCAGGCGACAAUGCCGUUAGGCCAUGUGCAAAUCACCCCUUGACAGCUCACUAACCCACCGACUUAUUCUUUAACUCUGGUCACGUUACUUAACCCUGAUGACUCACCCUAGUGACUCAUGCUUCAGUCCAAAACGGUUCCUCCUGAAGCUUCUGGAUUCUUCUUAGCUUCCUGGUUCACCACUUGGGCCUUGGCCUUGUUUCUCCUUCGCAACUGAUAGAGGACUGGAGGGUGUUGGGCCUCCUAUGUAUCACUUGGCUAGUGAGGAUCAGUGGCUGACUUUGUUUGUUUCCAUGGUGUUUCUUCUACUCUCAUCUGAUUUGACGGCCAAGUAAAGACCGGUUAGAUGGUUUGGAGAAUGAUGUUUCAUAUAACAAAAACUUGGCCGGCGUGCGUGCUCACAGUGUAACAACAUGAAACUGAUUCUAUUGUAUCUUUGACUCGAUACAAUACGUCUUCCUUUUUGUCCCCUUCAAAUUCUCCAUCCAUAAGUGUUGCUAGCUUCUCUGGAUGGAGAUAUAGGUUUCCUUUCAUCCGAUGGAAAACCUAUCUUCUUGUUCUAUCAUAGAUGGUUUGAAGAAUGAGGAAGACUCACAGGUUUUGUUUCAAUCAUCACCACAAUCCAUAAGUGAAUACUGAGAUUUGUUUUGUUUGUUUCUGUGUCUCUAGAUGGAGGGAGGAGAGCAAUUUCAUUUUUUUACUAAUGGCGAGGACUAACCAGCCAGCAUGCAAAGACAUCAUCAAUUGCUUUAAGGAAAGUGUCCAAGCAGGUAAGGAUUAGAGGAGGGCUUUGUUUGUUUCUUCAACUCUCAUCUGAUUUGAUGAUCUAGUAAAGAUCGGUGAGAUUGUUUGAAGAAUAAUAUUUUAUAACAAAAACUUGGUCGGCGUGCGUGCUCACAGUGUAACAUCAUGAAAUUGACUGUAUAGUGAUUGAUGACUCUAUAGUCUAAUACAAUACGUCUUCCUCCUUUUCCACUUCAAAUUAUCCAUCCAUAAGUGUUGCUAGCUUGUCUAGAUGGAGAUAUAAAGUUCCCUUUCAUCCGAUGGAAAACCUAUCUUCUUGCUCUCCUAUUGGAAGUUGUCCUAGAGUUGUGGACACCACUAUUUUGUUUGAAUUUUGUUCUGUAGAUGGUGUAGAAGCUGCGAAAGAAAUGUUAUGGAAGAAAUGUGGUACAUCUGUUAAUUCUAUGGCUUUAGAGCUUUAUGAUGACACUGGCUCAAAGGUUGCAGUUCUCAGUGAUGAUACAAGACCCCUUGGUUUCUUAUCCCCUUUUGAUGGGUUCCGGUUACACAUCAUAGAUCUUGACCCCUCUUCGGUCACAACUGGAGGCUGGCUUGAAGAUACGUCAUUGGUUGAGAAGUAUACCAUCUCUGAAGACGGUUAUGCCAAACGAACUGGUUAAUUCUUCAUUACAUGCAAAGGAUGUGUCUCAAAGGAGAUAAGACAAGUUUCUCUAUCAAGUGACUUUGAAUAUAUGUCGGAUUUCCUUUGAUGGUUCUAUGUUCUUGUGUUCAAAGCCCAGACAGUUGGAGGCCAAGUUUCAUCCUUUCAACGGACGAAGGAGAACUAUAUGGAAGAUCUCUGUGCAAAUAUCAAGGUGGGAGGGUAGAUGCCAAGAGUUGAGCCUGGGGAGAAAAGAGGAAUGGUCAAAUAUGUUGGACGAGCAUAGUCGUCAGGUCCUGGCUAUUGGGUUGGAAUUCAUAUGAUGAGCCCCUUAAAAAACAUGAUGGCAUUUGCAGGGUGAAAGGAACAAGAUUCUUUGAGUGCCCUCCGCUUCAUGGUGGUAGGGUCCGGCCGGGCAAAGUUGGUGAUGAUCCGGAAAUACAAAAUUUUCACGGAGAGUUUGAAAAGAUUUGUUUUUGUGUUCAACAUCCUCUCUUUUAUCCUAUAACAUUUUAAAUCUAGUUUUGGAUUUAGAAGAGUCGGUGAAAACACAAUGCAGAACUAAUUAUAAAUUUUUAGGAAUAAUGACUAGUAACAAUUUGAUUUCACAA